rnacentral:piRNA from 1 species
UAUCUUCUGGAAUCCAUAGCCACUAUGCC